rnacentral:lncRNA from 1 species
CUCUUGUGGUAAGGAGGGGGAGAGGAAGGGUGUUUCUCCUUCCUGGGCACAUUCAGACCAUGAGCUUGGGGAGCUGAAGUCUGUUCCUACUGAACUGAGAUCUGCUCUUUCUUUUCAGGCAAAGUGUGCUGAUGAUGGUGAUAGUGAGGAUGGUGAUGCUGUUGAUAAUAAUGGUGGCAAUGAUUGCAAUGAUGAUGGUGACAGGUCACAAGGAGUGAAAAGGCAGUAGUGAAUCCAAGGUUGUGCCCAGGACUCACUUUUGGAUCACAAGCUAUAGGUGAAGCCAAGAGCAUCAUAGAUCCUCUCAGAUACCUCCUGGGCAUGAGAAGUGGGAGUGGAUCAGAAGUUGGAUUCAACCUUAUUUCCAGGUGACUCUCAGGAAGGGAGGAGGUUUGAGUAGCUUCCUGCCCCAUGCCAGCUCUAGGACUGGGGAGGGCCAGCUGGGAACUGAGAGCAGUAAGAACUGGUGGGGGCUGGUGCGUGGCAGAGCUGAGUGGGAGGAUGGCUGAGGACCAGAAGCUGAGGGUCUCAUCCUUGCUUUAUUCUGAGAUCCGGAGAGGCUGUAAAAGUCCUAUCCCAACAAAGCAGACGUGUCCAGUUAGACCAUGGCGGGGGGGGGGGGGGGUGGUGGUGCUCACCUGCCUCUCCUCCCUCUCAGUCCACAUGCUGGGCUUCAGGAUCCCUACUGAGAGCUGAGGGCUUGGGGAUUCCAAGCCAGGGAGUGAAGGAUGUCGGAGGGCUGAGCUGCAGGGAGGGCUACCCUGGGCCUGCAGCAUCAGUUCCAGCUCCUCUUCUCCCUCAGAUCCCUCGCUCUAAACUGACUAGCUCUGCUCUGUCUUGUGGUGUCCACAAGGGGCUCUGGGUCAGAUUGUCAGGUGACAUUGCGUCAAGAACUCUCAUGUCUCUGAGACUAUCUUCUUUAUACCUCCUGCUUCACAGUCCGAUUUCUCCAACCCAGAUGCCCUACCAUGUGCUGUAUGCACAAUGCCUUGUCAGGGUUGGGCAGAGUUAGCAUCUCCUGCUUGCUCUCCCCCCCCCACCCCCCACCCCCCGCCAUGGUUUUCCUACACUAACCAGCCCUAGUGAGGAGCUAAGUCCAGCAGGUGCUUCCUGGGCCUUUUGAAAUAUGGCCUACCCCGAAUUCUGUUCCUCAGCAAAGGUUGUUGUGGUUCGGUUGGAAGCAACGUCAACUGAUAAACACACAGUGGAUGAAGAAUGAUUGGAAUUUCAUCCUGACAAAUGAUGUGGAUUUCCUAUGACUGGUUAUGAAGGAAAACAUCUGAGGCCCAAGGAGAGUGACCCGGGUCACUGCCACUCACACAUCCCUAGACCGUGGUCCACCUUACCUCCCUGGCUCAGCUCCUCAUGGUUCACAGCCAGAGAGAGAGCUCAGUGAGUCUGGAAUUACAUGAACUUUCCCCUCCUUCUGGGGAGGCAAAGGCAGCCUCCACCUGACCAUUCCAGAGUAAAUUGCAAGCCCACCUGCCUGCUGCCCUCAGGCUGGGGCCACAGUGUGUUUGAGUUCUUCUCCAGCUCCACUCGCACCCCCCUCCUGCAGAAGCCAGGGGACAGCCUUCCUGCCUGUCUAGACACCAGAAGUUGUUCUGCUCUCUCAGGCACCGGUUUGGCAUGGUCUGCUCUUCCUGGGGCAGUGACAGUGUUGUCUGUAGGUUGGCCACUUCUCUUUUCUGAUAACGACAUAUCUGAAUAGUCAUAAAGACCUUCUCCUAAAACUGUCCCGACACAGAAUUGCCUUGCAGUUGCAGAGAAGAAGUACUAGGUUCUUGGUGUUUCUAGCCCCUUCCCACCCGGGAGGAAGAAGAUCAGUGCUGAGCAGGGCUCUUGGUUAGUAGGGGCCCAAGUCAUGACCUUUACCCCCCGUGGGCAUUGUCUGAGUGCUAAGCAGUUGCUGUCUGGGCAGAUGGACUCUACACUGAUCUGACCCCAGCACACCAGUCCCUGCUCCUUGCCAUUGGUUGGUGUCCACACAGGCCUCCUGCCAUGAAAUCUUGCCACCUGUACCCCAAGAAGGCAUUCAGGUCCAGCAAGAGACUCAGUUUUGGGGCUUUGAUUUGGUCAGGUUCCAUCUGAGGCAUGCCAUGUGGUACAGUGCAUUCCUCUGGGGACUGGAUUUCUGGGUCCUGGGGCUGAAAGGAGCCAUCAUCAGACACAUAGCCUCAGAUGUUCACAUCUGUCUCCUCUGGGCCUCUGUGACCAGGUAUGGCUCUCCCGAAGGUAUCUGUCCGACAGGUGUCCAGGGUCAUGAGUCUUUGCCCUGUGGGCCUCCUUCCUCCAGAACUUUCCCUACCCUGUAGGGGCUGCACACAUGUGCCCAGACCUGUACCUGGAAAAAGAGAAGAAGCAGACCCAGCAUUCCACCUGCCUUGGCUCUCAGAGUUUGGCUUCCCUCCAUGCCCACCCAGCACUGAAACUUCAGUCACUCCAAAAGAGCACUUAUUUAUUUUGAGACAGAGUCUCAUGUUGGCCUUGAAUCCCCUAGGUAGCUUGGGAUGACCUGGAACUCCUGAUCUCGCUGUCUCUACCUGUGCUAGUUCUGAGACCACAGCUGGGAUGGGGGUGGCUUCUGAUUGGACAGAAAUAGUUCUGCAUGUGCUGGCAGUGUCUAUAUAAAUGUGCUUCCCCCAACCUGAGAGGAAAGUCUCAACUCUGGAAAAUUACAUCCAGGAAACUAGGGAAGUUUCUGCCCUGGGGGUGUUUGAGAUCAGCUUCCUGGGUUGGUCUCAGCCUACAAGGAGAAUGCCUAGCUCUAGCGACUUUAACUGCAACCAUUUCUGGGGGCCUCUGGCAGCGAGGCAUGCUUGUGCCAGUCUGUCCUGGUUAUGCAAGUUACGGUCAGAGUAACAUGGCUCUCGGUGACAAUGUCAGGAGCAGAUUCCAGGCAGUGUGUCAAUAGGACAUACCAACUCCUUCUAGAAAACAGCCUAGCCCAGUCUGCCUAGGUGGCAGCCGAUUCCCCCACCCCCACCCCCUUUUGUAUAAAUUCCUUUCAAAGUGCCUGGAAGUCUGGUAACUGGGAGAGAGGGUUAAGUACCAUCUAAGCCAUUAAAGCCUAAGACAUAAUUGGCCAACCCUCCUGCUGGUGCAAGUCUGGAGGUCUGGGGGCCGGGGGCGGGGCGCAUGCCCAAACUUACCCAUGGCCAGCUUGCUAGUGCUAAGUGGAGACCCUGUAUCCUAAUCCCCACCCACUCCUACCCCCACCCCCGCCCCCAGCACACAAUUGCCCAGCCUGGUGGUGAAGCCAUUAUUGGCUCUUCUUUUAGAGACAGAGUCUCAGGUAGACAAAACCUCUUGUCAGUCCUCCUGCCUCAGUCUUGUUGGACUGUAAUCCAGUCACUCCGUAGGCUUAUGCAGAGUCUACAGCCCUUGAAUCUUCUACUCAGGUCUCCUCUCUUCUCUCUUCUCUGAUUGAAGGAAAAACUGACUCUCCUCUAGUUCCCUCUUGUGGGUAGGGCCUGACAUACCUGUGUGCAAUGGGUUUUAUGCACAUGUGUAUAUGUGUGUGUGUGUGUGUGUGUGUGUGUGUGUGUGUGUGUGUGUGUGUAUGUCUAUACACACACAUAUAUAUGAAUGGAUAACCUGGAAAGACCUUCACAUAGCCAGAAAACAAAUUCCACAGACUGGUACUUGAGACCCAGGCUUUCAGCUCAUAGAAAGAUAGGUUCCCAAACCACCUGUCUUGAGACCUGAUCUCUCACCACACCCCACUGCCCUGGAGUUUAUGAAGAACUAUAGGCAGUGGGUGAGACCACCAACAGAUACAAGUUUGCUGGCCAGCUGGUGGCAAGCAGGCCUGAGUGUGAGGAUUUCAGACUGUUGAGCCCAGUCAGUACCCUUUUCCCAUGAGGCCUUGUCUCCAGUCCUCAGAGGCUUCCUGGUUGGGGUUAGCACCGUGUCUCAGUGGUUCUCAGUGAGGGGCUUUGGGCUUCCUUCCUUUUUUUUUCUGGUGUUUCUCUGACUCCAUCCACACGCUGUGGCUGCAAUGGAGCUGGGCAGAGUCCUUCGUGGAGACACCAGCAGAUAAGACAGGACAAUCAAAGACCAUGGCAGUAUGUCAUAGACAUGACCUAGGAGAGUAUGCAUUCAGAAAUGACAGAGAGCCACAGUCAUGUGUCACAAGGAUUAGAGCGAGAUCCUGUUGCCAAACAACAGC